GAGAGCCGAUGUACGGAGAAAUCUGUAUGCACGGUUCGGGAAGAGGGAUGAGGGAGACGGCCUCGGCGAUCAAGAGGAAGACUGGGAGUAGUCCAUGCGCGCCCUCACCCUACUCUCAC
rnacentral:ncRNA from 1 species